GGGAGUAUGGCUUAGUUGGUUAGCGCUUUCACUUUAAGGCGAAAUAGGGGGGAGGUUCGAACCCUUCCAUUUUUU